CAUUACACGAUAUUGGAUUUUGUAUAAAUUUUCUUCAAGCAUUUUGAAGAAAUUAUUGAUCGAUGGAAAGCUCGAACUUCC
rnacentral:misc_RNA from 1 species